AGCCUGGUCUACAAAGUGAGUUCCAGGACAGCCAGGGCUACACAGAGAAACCCUGUCUCAAAAAACCAAAGUAAAUAAAUAAACAAACAAACAAACAAACAAACAGAGCCUCUGCAGAAGCUGGAGGUGACUGCAUGACUUUCUCCUCCAGACUGAAACAUUCCCUGCUGUAGCCAGGAGGAGGCUGAUGAGGCCCAGGAAACACAAUGGCUACAGAUUCACUGAGCUCACACAGUAUAGCAAGUCCCUGUUGGGGUUGGACCAGCAGUAGUUCCUGAGGGAGAGGAGGCUGCUGGGAGCUGUGCAGGGGUCUUCAGUGAUGCAGCUGUUGGAGCUCAGGGUUCACCGAGCUGACCAUGGAUGGAUGCUUUCCUUGGUCUGCUGUCACCGUCUCCAUCUGGGCUGAAGGAAAUGUUCUCAAGCAGGUAACAUAGCUGUGUCUUUUGUCAUUGGCCCAGAGUGUCUGUUCCAGAUUUGAGAUCUAAGCCCUGUUUCUAAGAUAUACAAAGAAAUACAUCCUGGAGCAAGCUCUGUAGUGGAAAGAUGCAUGUGAUACAAUGUAAAGGAAUAAAUAAGAACAAGUUGUGUAGGGAGCUGGAGGGUAGAAGGGAAGGCGCCCAGAGUGCAGGUGAGAGGAACAGGGCAGAGAGCUAUUGGUUUUUAAUUUUUGGUUUUCCAAUACAGGGUUUCCCUAUGUAGCUCUGGCUGUCCUGGAACUUACUAUGUAGACCAGGCUGGCCUCAAAUAUAAAUCAGACUACCCCUGCCCCUGCCCCUGCCCCUG
rnacentral:lncRNA from 1 species